GUGGCUGUAGCUCAAUGGCAGAGCACUGCACUGUGGAUGCAGUUGUUGUGGGUUCAAGUCCCAUCAGCCACC
rnacentral:tRNA from 1 species